UGGGGAAUAUUGGACAAUGGGCGAAAGCCUGAUCCAGCCAUGCCGCGUGUGUGAAGAAGGUCUUCGGAUUGUAAAGCACUUUAAGUUGGGAGGAAGGGCAGUAAGCGAAUACCUUGCUGUUUUGACGUUACCGACAGAAUAAGCACCGGCUAACUCUGUGCCAGCAGCCGCGGUAAUACAGAGGGUGCAAGCGUUAAUCGGAAUUACUGGGCGUAAAGCGCGCGUAGGUGGUUCGUUAAGUUGAAUGUGAAAGCCCCGGGCUCAACCUGGGAACUGCAUCCAAAACUGGCGAGCUAGAGUAGGGCAGAGGGUGGUGGAAUUUCCUGUGUAGCGGUGAAAUGCGUAGAUAUAGGAAGGAACACAAGUGGCGAAGGCGACCACCUGGGCGCAUACUGACACUGAGGUGCGAAAGCGUGGGGAGCAAACAGG
rnacentral:rRNA from 1 species